GCUUAACGCGAAGAACCUUACCAGGGCUUGACAUACAGGUGAAUAUGGCAGAGAUGCCAUAGUCCUUCGGGUGGACCAGCACAGGUGCUGCAUGGCUGUCGUCAGCUCGUGUCGUGAGAUGUUGGGUUAAGUCCCGUAACGAGCGCAACCCCUAUGAACUGUUGCCAGCGGAUAAUGCCGGGGACUCUGUUCAGACUGCCCAGAUUAACUGGGAGGAAGGAGGGGAUGACGUCAAGUCAGUAUGGCCCUUACGCCCAGGGCUGCACACGUGCUACAAUGUCCAGUACAAUGUGAACCGAGACCGUGAGGUGGAGGAAAUCGUCAAAACUGGGCUCAGUUCGGAUUGUAGGCUGCAACUCGCCUACAUGAAGUUGGAAUCGCUAGUAAUGGUGCAUCAGCUACGGCACCGUGAAUACGUUCCCGGGUCUUGUACACACCG
rnacentral:rRNA from 1 species